rnacentral:rRNA from 1 species
UACAGGGGGGUGCAAACGUUGCUCGGAAUCAUUGGGCGUAAAGCGCACGUAGGCGGUCUGUUAUGUCGGAUGUGAAAGCCCUCGGCUCAACUGAGGAAGUGCAUCCGAAACUGGCAGGCUAGAGUACUAAAGAGGGUCGCGGAAUUCCCGGUGUAGCGGUGAAAUGCGUAGAUAUCAGGAGGAACACCGGUGGCGAAGGCGGCUAUCUGGACAGAGUCUAGCGCGAGGCGCGAAAGCUAGGGGAGCAAACAGG